UACAGAGGUCUCAAGCGUUGUUCGGAUUCAUUGGGCGUAAAGGGUGUGUAGGUGGCGCCGUAAGUCGGGUGUGAAAUUUCGGAGCUUAACUCCGAAACUGCAUUCGAUACUGCGGUGCUUGAGGACUGGAGAGGAGACUGGAAUUCAUGGUGUAGCAGUGAAAUGCGUAGAUAUCUGGAGGAACACCGGUGGCGAAGGCGGCGUUCUGGACUGCAACUGACACUGAAAAACGAAAGCCAGGGGAGCAAACGGG
rnacentral:rRNA from 1 species